rnacentral:hammerhead_ribozyme from 1 species
GCACUGCUGAGGAGUCCCACACUAGGACGAAACGGCCGUUCAAUGC